GGUGUGCUGGCGCAAUGGUAGCGCGUAGUCCUCCUAUUGUAUCGCAUUGUAACGACGCAAUAAGACUAAGGCUCUGGGUUCGAGUCCCAGGUAUACCG